UCGCUGUGUGUUACAAGUGUCACACGGUACUGCCGAUAUUAAGUCGGAGGAAGUGGGGAUGACGUCAAGUCAGCAUGACCUUUAUAUCCAGGGCUACACACACGCUACAAUGGCCAGUACAAUGGGUUGCCAAGCCGCGAGGCGGAGCCAAUCCUAAAAAGCUGGCCUCAGUUCAGAUUGCAGUCUGCAACUCGACUGCAUGAAGUUGGAGUUGCUAGUAACCGCAGGUCAGCAAUACUGCGGUGAAUACGUUCCCGGGGAUU
rnacentral:rRNA from 1 species